CGAUUAAGGUUCGAUUCGAGCGCAGCGAGAAAGCGUUGCCGCAGGCAACGACCCGAAGGGCGAAGCGCGCAGCGCUGAGUCAUCCUUCCCCCACCACCA
rnacentral:sRNA from 2 species